rnacentral:rRNA from 1 species
GACGAACGCUGGCGGCGUGCCUAAUACAUGCAAGUAGAACGCACAGUUUAUACCGUAGCUUGCUACACCAUAAACUGUGAGUUGCGAACGGGUGAGUAACGCGUAGGUAACCUGCCUGGUAGCGGGGGAUAACUAUUGGAAACGAUAGCUAAUACCGCAUAAUAUUAAUUAUUGCAUGAUAAUUGAUUGAAAGAUGCAAUUGCAUCACUACCAGAUGGACCUGCGUUGUAUUAGCUAGUAGGUGAGGUAACGGCUCACCUAGGCGACGAUACAUAGCCGACCUGAGAGGGUGAUCGGCCACACUGGGACUGAGACACGGCCCAGACUCCUACGGGAGGCAGCAGUAGGGAAUCUUCGGCAAUGGACGAAAGUCUGACCGAGCAACGCCGCGUGAGUGAAGAAGGUUUUCGGAUCGUAAAGCUCUGUUGUAAGAGAAGAACGGGUGUGAGAGUGGAAAGUUCACACUGUGACGGUAUCUUACCAGAAAGGUACGGCUAACUACGU